AAAGAAGAAACAAUGACAUUGAGGAGACAAUCCCUCUAUUUGCUGGAUAACCCCUGUGGCUAUCUCUCUCCCUUAGGUCCUCUAGAAUCUCUCUAGCUCUGUAGAAUAUAACCUAGGCAACUGUUGCGUGAGUUCUGAAAGCUCAAAGCUGGCUUUUUUUUCUGAGCAGAAAGCUCCUUUUAUUACAGUGUAGGCCAGAUUUUCUUCGGUCCUCCCCUAGAUUCUCCAUAGGAGCGUAACUCAGGAUGUAACAGGGUCUGUCUUCUGUGGCACUUUCCACUUGGUAUCUAUUUGUGCUCCAGCCAAACACAUUUCUCCAUAGGAUAAUGAGAGCUUGGGGGUCCUGCUGAGUUUUUGCUUUUGUAUUCCUCAAUAAAUCAUGCUUCACAUUUCGGUGGUGUCUGUCCCUGUUCUACAGCUUUGCAAUUUUUUUUUCCAUAAAUAUCACCUAGACCAAUAACACUUCUAAUAGAAGAUCUCUGUCUACAGCAUCUUCAGCAGAUUUUUAAAAAUACCUUCAAUGACCCUCCCUUGGUUAAGUAUUCACUGUCACUCAUUACAAACAAAUUAAGCCCUGUUUUAGGAUACAGCAAUUAAUAAUACAGACACUAUCCGAUAGCAUUAAAAAUACUCUAAUCUGAAAGGACUCUACAUGAUUUAGUGUCAUCUCCCACUAGUGAAAAGAGACUAACAUAUAUAAGCAUCUGUUAUAAACCAGGCACUAUGCAUUUUAAUUAUCAUAGUUCUUACAAUCUUCCCAGUAAUACUGUGUAGCAAACAUACAUAAAGAUAUCAACUUUUUCCCUAAUAUUAUUAUCCUUCUUACAGAUUGAUUCUCAAUAUCUGUUGCUUUGUUUUCUCUUUUAUUGCCUUAAAAAGAAAAAAAAAAAAGACCCUGAGAUUUUAAAGAUGUGCCUGCUUCCAUUCCCUGCGUGCUUUCUGACUCAGAGAGGAAAAUUUAAUGUGAACCUCUGCAGCCAAAGAUAACAAAGCAGGGAGGUAGAACUCAAGCCUUCUGACUCCUGAACCAAUCUUCAGAAGCCUCAAUCCUCAUCCUGUGUAGCAAUGUGUAGCAAUGUACUGAAAUCAGUUUGGAGGUAUGUUGCAAGUAUUUUUUUGUUUGUUUUUGUCAAAUAAGAUUUAAACUAUUGCAGUUUGACAUACUGU
rnacentral:lncRNA from 1 species